UUUUAAAUAAAAUGGACCCAAAGGCAGUAGUUGGUAUUUCCAAAAUAUUUAUAGGGAAUAAUAUUAUGUAUUGACAUUUUAUUUAA
rnacentral:tmRNA from 4 species